GGUGUGGUACCCAAGUGGCUCAAGGGAAGAGUCUGCAAAACUCUCAUUCGUCAGUUCGAAUCUGACCCACACCU
rnacentral:tRNA from 2 species